UUAAAUGAAAAUUUAGGUUCAUUAAAUAACUUCUACGUUUCUAUUUCACUUUCGUUUAUUCGGUACUAUUGUAUAUAAACAACUGUUCGCUUCGAUAGCUCGACACAGAAUGAAUCUUCGCCGCUACCUGCCGCGAAGGGUGCUUUCUACCCCUCGUCGCGCUAUGGCCGGUUAUCCUGUUGAUAAGCAUUCCUCACUACUGCCUACCGUCCUUAUUCCAACAGAAUGUUAUUUAAUCUAUUAUUCUAUUGUCAACAAUAAUUUUUAAAUAAAUUGUUUUUUAAGCGUUUACUCCUGUAUUGUUAUAUUGUUCUAGUGUGCAACAAUCAAUUUCGACGACACAACGUUGGUGGCUGGCUUGAUACGGAUUUCACAUUUCUUCUACUGCGAGCUGUCUCUCUCGGUGUGACGGUUCGUUGGAGGAACUGGGAAAGGUUCCCUAAGGUGGAGGGCAACUAGGAAAGCAGCUCUCCACGUACCACGCUCACACCCACGGACGAUUUCUUUAACAGGGCGCCUAGCUGCGAGGGGUCCGCUUGGGCGGAGGAGUGAGGCCGGCAAGCUGGAGGUUUUUCAUAACGAGGCAUAGAGAAAACAAGAAAAAAAAUAUACCUCGUUACAAAGAUUGCUUAGAACGUACAAUGCAGGUGUUUUAACAAAUAAAAGAUCUCAAGAUUUAAGUGCACGCAUGAUUGAAAUGAAAAGUUUCCAGCAAUAAGUAUGAGUCGAAUACAGAUGUAACCGGUGUGAACAAAAGAAUAUGCACAAAUCGUAUACAACCUGUUCUUGUUUGGCUUAAAACUCGAUAAUGAAUAAAGAAAUGAAUAGGUCUACUUCUUUACUUUUGAAAAACUGUACAAAACUUUAGUUUCAUGAAUGAAUAAAAUAACAUAAUUAUUGUAAAACAUAAAU